rnacentral:rRNA from 1 species
UACGUAGGGGGCAAGCGUUAUCCGGAUUUACUGGGUGUAAAGGGAGCGUAGACGGCGCUGCAAGUCCGGAGUGAAAGCCCAUGGCUUAACCAUGGUACUGCUCUGGAAACUGGCGGGCUAGAGAGCAGGAGAGGGCGGUGGAACUCCAUGUGUAGCGGUAAAAUGCGUAGAUAUAUGGAAGAACACCAGUGGCGAAGGCGGCUUACUGGACGAUGACUGACGCUGAGGCUCGAAAGCGUGGGGGGCAAACAGG